rnacentral:rRNA from 1 species
UACAGAGGUCCCAAGCGUUGUUCGGAUUCAUUGGGCGUAAAGGGUGCGUAGGCGGUAUUGCAAGUCGGAUGUGAAAUCCCGGGGCUCAACCCCGGAACUGCAUUCGAUACUGCGGUGCUAGAGGACUCUAGAGGAAACCGGAAUUCACGGUGUAGCAGUGAAAUGCGUAGAUAUCGUGAGGAAGACCAGUGGCGAAGGCGGGUCUCUGGACAGUUCCUGACACUGAGGCACGAAGGCCAGGGGAGCAAACGGG